UAGCUCAGUCGGUAGAGCGCUGGCCUUUUAAGCCAGUGGUCGUGGGUUCGAGCCCCAC
rnacentral:tRNA from 1 species